UACGUAGGGGGCGAGCGUUGUCCGGAUUUAUUGGGCGUAAAGAGCGUGUAGGCGGUUCGGUAAGUCUGUCGUGAAAUCCUGAGGCUCAACCUCGGGCGUGCGAUGGAUACUGCCGGGCUAGAGGGUGGUAGAGGCGAGUGGAAUUCCCGGUGUAGCGGUGAAAUGCGCAGAUAUCGGGAGGAACACCAGUAGCGAAGGCGGCUCGCUGGGCCACACCUGACGCUGAGACGCGAAAGCGUGGGGAGCGAACAGG
rnacentral:rRNA from 1 species